rnacentral:snRNA from 1 species
GUGCUCGCUUCGGCCGCACACAUACUAAAACUGGAACUAUACAGAGAAGACAGCAGGGCCCCUGCACAAGGAUGACGCGCAAAUUCGCGAAGCGUUCCGUAUGUCU